rnacentral:rRNA from 1 species
GCGUAAAGCGUGCGUAGACGGUUACAUAAGUCGGGUGUGAAAGCCCCGGGCUCAACCUGGGAAUUGCAUUCGAGACUGCGUAGCUAGGGUGCGGAAGAGGGAAGCGGAAUUUCCGGUGUAGCGGUGAAAUGCGUAGAUAUCGGAAGGAACACCAGUGGCGAAAGCGGCUUCCUGGUCCAGCACCGACGUUCAGGCACGAAAGCGUGGGGAGCAAACAGGAUUAGAUACCCUGGUAGUCCACGCCAUAAACGAUGAGAACUAGACGUUGAAGGGGUAAGCCCUCCAGUGUCGUAGCUAACGCGCUAAGUUCUCCGCCUGGGGAGUACGGCCGCAAGGUUGAAGCUCAAAGGAAUUGA